rnacentral:rRNA from 1 species
UUCCUACGGGAGGCAGCAGUGGGGAAUAUUGGUCAAUGGGAGGAAUCCUGAACCAGCCAUGCCGCGUGCAGGACGACGGCUCUAUGAGUUGUAAACUGCUUUUGUACAAGGGUAAACCUGAAUACGUGUAUUCAGCUGAAAGUACUGUACGAGUAAGGAUCGGCUAACUCCGUGCCAGCAGCCGCGGUAAUACGGAGGAUCCAAGCGUUAUCCGGAUUUAUUGGGUUUAAAGGGUGCGUAGGCGGAUUGAUAAGUUAGAGGUGAAAUGUCCGGGCUCAACUCGGGAACUGCCUCUAAUACUGUUG